rnacentral:rRNA from 1 species
CAGCCGCCGCGGGAAUACGUAGGGUGCAAGCGUUAAUCGGAAUUACUGGGCGUAAAGCGUGCGCAGGCGGUUUGUUAAGACAGAUGUGAAAUCCCCGGGCUCAACCUGGGAACUGCAUUUGUGACUGGCAAGCUGGAGUGUGGCAGAGGGGGGUGGAAUUCCGCGUGUAGCAGUGAAAUGCGUAGAUAUGCGGAGGAACACCGAUGGCGAAGGCAGCCCCCUGGGCCAAUACUGACGCUCAUGCACGAAAGCGUGGGGAGCAAACAGGAUUAGAUACCCCAGUAGUCCCUGUCUCUUAUAC